AUUAAGCCAUGCAUGUGUACGUACACAUGGCCGGUACAGUGAAACUGUGAAUCUCUCAUUAAAUCAAUUAUGGUUUCUUUAAUCGUUCCAUCUGUUACUUGGAUUACUGCGGUAAUUCUAUGGCUAAUACAUGCAGACGAGCACUGACCUCCUGGGAUGCGUGCAUUUUUUCAGGUCAAGACAAGUCCCGGCUCACCCGGCCGUUUGGAAACUCUAGAUAACCUAACCUUGUGCCGAUCGCACAUCUCUGUGAUGGCAACGAUACAAUCGGAUGUCUGCCCUAUCAACCUUCGAUGGUGCUUUUAAUGCCUACCAUGGUGACCAACAGGGAAUCAGAGUUCGAUUCUGAAGAGUGAGCCUGAGAAACAGCUACUACAUCCAAGGAGGACAGCAGGUGUGCAAACUACCCACUCCUGACUUGAGCAGAUAGUGAUGAAAAAUAACAAUAGAGAACUCUUUCGAAGAACCUGCAUUUUGAACGAGUGCUUUAUAUCCUUUAACAAGGAUCCAUUAGAGGGCAAGUCUGGUGCCAGCAGCUGUAGUAAUUCCAGUUCCAAUAGUGUAUAAUAAAGUUGCUGCAAUUAAAAAGCUGUAUUUGGAUCUUGGGUUUGUGAAGACAGUCAUCUGCGAGACAAACUACUGCCUAUCCCAGCCCCUGCCUAUCGAGUGCCCCUUGAUGCUCUUGACUGAGUAUCCUGGCAGCCCGAAUCGAUUACUUUGAAAUAAUUAGAGUGUUCAAAGUAGGCUGGUCACCUGAAUACUUCAGCUAUUAAUAAUGGAAUAGUAUCCGAUUCUAUUUUGUUGUUUUUCAGAACUGGGGCAAUGAUUAAGAGGGGCUGCCGGGGCAUUGGUAAUUUGCUGCUAGAGGUGGCAUUCUUGGACGGGCGCAAGCCAAACCAAAGCAAAAGAAUUUACCAAGAAAGUUUUCAUUAAUCAAGAACGAAAGUCAGCGGUACAAAGACGAUCAGAUACCGUCAGAGUUGUGACCAUAACAAUGCCAACUAGCAAUCCGGCGACGUUAUGCCCAUGACCUGCCCAGCAGUGUCCAGGAAACCAAAGUCUUUGUGUUCCAGGGGAAUUAUGGUUGCAAAGCUGAAACAUAAAGGAAUUGACGGAAGGGCACCACCAGAAGUGGAGCCUGUGGCUUAAUUUGACUCAAUGCGGAACCCUCACUUGGCCUGGACACAGAAAGGAUUAACAGCUCUUUCUCGAUUAUGUGGGUAGUGGUGCAUGGCUGUUCUUAGUUGGUGGAGCGAUGUGUCUGGUUAAUUAUUUCGAUAACACAUGAAUGAGACUUCCCCAUGCCAAGCAGUUACGCGACUCGCAGAGGUCAGCAUACAACAAAUUAGAGGAAGCAAGUUGCGUUCAGCCAUAUGAUAUUGAGCAAUAACAGGUCUUCGAUGCCCUUAGAUGUCUGUGGCUGUACUUGCGCUACAUUGAAUGGAUCAGGUGUGUCUACCCUUCGCCAACAGUAGCGGUAAUCCGCUGAACUCCGUUCAUGAUAGGAUUGGGGAUUGAAAUUAUUACGCCUGAGCGAGCAAUUCCCAGUAAGUGUGGAUCAAUAGCUCACAUUGAUCAGGCGCCUGCCCUUUGUGCACACAGCCUGUCACUGCUACCGAUUGGAUGGUUUAGUGAGGUCCUCGGAUUGGCACUGCCGAGUCGGCAACGCCCCUGGUGGGCCGCCUAGAAGAUGGUCAAACUUGACCAUCUAGAGGAAGAAAAAGUCGUAAAAAGGAUUCUUGCAGAAGGAUCAUUA
rnacentral:rRNA from 1 species